rnacentral:ncRNA from 1 species
AGUUAAUUGCCACCGGGUAAUGAAUGUCAGCAUUCGAUUGCAUAUCGUUAGGUCUUAGAAGAUAUGCCGUCGGAUGCUUUUUUGAU